AGUUUGGAGGCUGUUAAUCAACACUCCAUCCAGACAAGUACAUAGAGCAGAAGAUAGAAGCCAGCUACUUCCUGCUGGAGAGUAAGGGUGAAGGUGAGGGCUGAGUCAGAUAUGUUAGAGGCUGAUGGCUGAUGUGUCUAGUGGUGGUGGUGGUGGUGGUGGUACCAGCACUAAUGACCUGUGACAUGGUCUAUCAUUAGACCGACAGUGUGUCCAACACCAGACCAGCAAAUCAAUACUAAACCAGCAGGCAAGGGUAGAGGUGGAGACAAAGUCUUACCAACAUGGACAAUAUAGAUAUCUGAUAAUCAGUAUUGAGGUAAAACAAACUAUACAGCACAAUUCUAAUACAUAAUAGAGGUGAAUGUCCCGAUACCCUAAGUCCAUAAUGAAUGUACAGCAUGAUACACAGAAAAGAAACAACCGAGGUAUAUUAUGAGAUCAGAUGCAGGUGCUCAACAUAACAUUUGUACUUCAUACCAUUCUGGAAUGUUGUGAUCCAAUGUGAAUCAAUAGGAAGGAUACAACAAAACCAAUUUUGAGUUCCUCACUCUCCCUUUUCUCAAAUUAAGUUGAAUGUCAGAAGACCUUACCUUGUUUUUGAAACGCAAAUUUUUAUUCAUUUGGGUGUGCUGAUGUUAUGCAUAGUUAACCAAUUAACCAAGUACACCUUAUGUUUGAUAAAACAAAAAGAAACAUAUGAUCAAUGCGCUAUACUCAUUCCCAGAUCAGUGUCUUGAAUAAGGGAUCACAUGGUUUGAUUUUUGAUACCGAGGUAUUUGUGUACGAUACUGUACAAUGGGUAAUUUUCAUAGUAGUGUUAUAUUAAUGUUUUUUGCAGAAGGAUUCAAUUAUGAAUUCAACAAUGUAGCAACGAUUCCCAUUUCAGACAUUCGAAUCUUGUUGGACACCAAAGACAAACAGAAAUAGAAAGUAUAUAACAUAUAUACAGUUUGAUUGACAAAUUUCCUCAUGAAUUAAAUGGCAACUGAAAUUGCUUUUCAUUUACGCUAUAAUCAGAGUUUACUGUUAAAAUGUUGAUACCAACACAUCAAAAUAAUUCAGUUUUAAAAUACAACAGCAGUAUUUCAGUAUAGUAAACAAAGUGUCUGUGAAUCAUACAUGUGGGGCCCCCACCUUCCUUUUCACUUUGAUGGAAAUGGAGCGGAGCACAAAAUCUAAAUCACAGAAAUGGAACUUCAGGUAAAGUCUAAGCAAAUCUAGUAAAUUAGGAAAUUGAGGUCACAGUGACCUACAUAUCACAUAUUUGUGCAGCAGGAUGUAGUUACCUAUGCCAUUUGAUGACUGUUGGGACUGUUAGUAUUGGAGUAAUGGAACUUAGCACCAAGUCUAAUACCAAUGUUGUAUGGUCUGAGGAAGUGAUUAAUGUCCUGAUCACUUCUUUAUGGGGCAUUAAAACGGGUCUCAAACAGUGACGAUCCUUUACCUUUCUGUUGUCAAUUACUGACACAUAAAGUCCUCAUUCAUGACACAUGCAUAGCCAACACUCAAAAUCAAUGAUGUUAUUUAACUCCAAUAGGGAAUAGACUAUCGAGACCUGAGGCACAUUAAGUUUGAUAUCAAUGUAAUAUUUAUACUAACCCCUAAACCCACCAACAAGAUCCCACACCAGUAUUACAUUGCAGGUGUUCGAUGAGCCAUCUAUUCAAAAUUGUAUAACUAUCACCAAGAUAAGGUUUUAGAUUAUAUCAUUUCAAUCUGGAGCUGUCAAAUACAAGUCUGAUAAAGCCAAAACGGGCACAGUGAUGAGACAAAACUAUACUAAAUUACAGUACAUCUGUGUGACAGUGUCAGCCACCUCCCUACCCGGCUCUACUCAGUAAAUCAAUAUUAACUGAUCAGGUUAUGAAUUCAGCUCUGUAAUGAGACCUCCACUUCUCUACAAUCACACCAUUACAUCACAAUGUAUCCAACAAGCUAUUAUCACACAAUUUAUUCCAAUAGUUGUUAGCUGCGUUGUAUGAAAUCCAUCCUCUCCCCCUCCGAACUUACAACAGCUAUAUCCUAGAUCUAGAGUUCUAUAAACUAUUCCUUACAAAGCUAGUAAAGAUCACCCUCCUUCCUUUCAAUUUUGCACUGAAUUUUGAAGGGACAAAAUGUACAUGUGUCAAAAUAAAAAUCUCUCCUCCAUUAACACCAGCUGUGACCAGCUAAUUACAAAAUGAGGUAUCAAAUGAGCUGAUAACGAGGACUGCUCACUACAGAAAUACCACAAACAGGAAACAGGAAGGUGGUAACCAUCCCCAGGAAGACGAAGCGGUAAUGUAUUAGAAGGAAGAUCCUGUGUAUAGACAGGAAAGGUCACUCAAAGGUAGUAUGUGCACACAGCAACAUAGAUACUGGCCAAUGAAAACACAAUCGGUGAUGUAAGUCUAGGUGCUGGUGAAGAGAUCUUAUACUAACGGCUACAGAGCAGGUGUAAAGCAAUGAGAUAUCCACCAGCAGAAAGAAGCAUAAAAAACACAUAAAAGAAACAAGCAACAAUGUAUGCAAAGCUAGGUGACUACUAAGUAAAAGGACGAAACACCAAACACAAUGUAUGCAGAGCUAGGUCGCAGUCUUUAACUUUAUUGCAGAGCAAGUUAGUGGUGUAAUACUGGAAAGGACACCAAACACAAUGUAUGCAGAGCUAGGUCGCAGUCUUUAACUGUAUUGCAGAGCAAUUUAGUGGUGUUAUACUGGAACUGACACAAAACACAAUGUAUGCAGAGCUAGGUCGCAGUCGUUAACUGUAUUGCAGAGCAAGUUAGUGGGGUUAUACUGGAACUGACACCAAACACAAUGUAUACAGAGCUAGGUCGCAGUCUUUAACUGUAAUGUAGAGCAAGUUAGUGGUGUUAUACUGGAACUGACACCAAACACAAUGUAAGCAGAGCUAGGUCGCAGUCUGUAACUGUAUUGUAAAGCAAGUUAGUGGUGUUGUACAGGAAAGGACACCAAACACAAUGUAUGCAGAGCUAGGUCGCAGUCUUUAACUGUAUUGCAGAGCAAGUUAGUGGUGUUAUACUGGAAAGGACACCAAACACAAUGUAUGCAGAGCUAGGUGCAGUCUUUAACUGUAUUGUAGAGCAAGUUAGUGGUGUUAUACUGGAACUGACACCAAACACAAUGUAUGCAUAGCAUGGUAACCAGAAUAGACACCAAGAACCAUGUAUACAAAGUAGGAUAUAUGCAUUAAACAAGAAAAGAUGUCUAUUGGUAAUGUAUGUAAAAAUAGUUGCUGACCCAAUUCCUGAGAACUAACAGGUAGGAUACUUUCCCGAGAACUAACAGGUAAAAUACUUCCUUUAUUUCAGACAAAUUUUCACAACUUUACGAAUAAUUGAAAUGUUUAGAUUAACCGAACACGAAGAAAAUUUGUAAUGGGUAGGAUACAUUCCUAAGAACUAACUGACAUAGCAGCACAACUUGAAUCCACUUACUCAGGAUUUGUUUGCUAUGUUGAUUUUUUAUACGGUGCCAAAAAUAGCCCACCAUCGAGUUGAAAUUUGUGCACAAGUAACAUUACAGACCUUUAGACACGAGAUAAAACUUGGCAUGCAUGAGCUGCUAUAACAAGGUAAUUGGGAUCCCUACACAUUACCAGCCUUAUCUACCGGCUUACAACACAUAUCUUCCUCAAGGCUCCAGAUCAAAUCUCUGUUCCCUGAAUAUUCAAAAUCCUUCUAGAUACUCAUCUUUUUUUAUACCAAUAUUUUGAAUCCAAAUUUAUCGUAGCAUCUGUGGGCAAUCAUCAAAUGUUUAUGUAUAUUGCAGACAUUUGAUGUGUACAUCACCCUCACUGGCGAUAGGAUCAGCCAAAC